rnacentral:rRNA from 1 species
UACGAAGGGGCUAGCGUUGCUCGGAAUCACUGGGCGUAAAGGGUGCGUAGGCGGGUCUUUUAAGUCAGGGGUGAAAUCCUGGAGCUCAACUCCAGAACUGCCUUUGAUACUGAGGAUCUUGAGUUCGGGAGAGGUGAGUGGAACUGCGAGUGUAGAGGUGAAAUUCGUAGAUAUUCGCAAGACACCAGUGGCGAAGGCGGCUCACUGGCCCGAUACUGACGCUGAGGCACGAAAGCGUGAGGAGCAAACAGG